rnacentral:rRNA from 1 species
UACAGAGGGUGCGAGCGUUAAUCGGAAUUACUGGGCGUAAAGCGCGCGUAGGCGGCUUUGCAAGUCGGGUGUGAAAUCCCCAGGCUUAACCUGGGAACUGCAUUCGAGACUGCAUUGCUAGAGUAUGGGAGAGGGAAGUGGAAUUUCAGGUGUAGCGGUGAAAUGCGUAGAUAUCUGAAGGAACACCAGUGGCGAAGGCGACUACCUGGCCUGUUCUUGACGCUGAGGCGCGAAAGCUAGGGGAGCAAACGGG